rnacentral:sRNA from 1 species
UAGAUCUUUUUGUUAUAUGGUGUGGCUCGUUUUGUUAAUGCCAAGAUUUUUGUCGCAUCAGUCUCGUUGGCUACUUGUAUCAUGCGAGACAAUAUUAAUGGAGCGAUGCGAUCGAAACUAAAACAACAAGUAUAGUUGGAUGUCGAAGCUGGUGCCCGAGGGUAAAUGUGUGUGUGAGUACCAAAACGAUGACACAUAAGAUGAUAUAUAUGCGUCUGUGGAUGACCAUAAAGCACAAAAGAACAACAAAAAGACAAAUUGAAGAAGUGGUGACGUCUAGAUGGAGUUGCUCCAAUGCUCAGCGUCGGUAAUGGUGAACCAUAGGAAGGACGGACUUUCUAUUUCUUUUUAUUUAAAUUCUCGGCCACAGAAAAUAAAAAAAAUAUUGAGUGGAAUGUUCCUACCUUAUCCCUGCAGCAACCGCUCGUUGCGACGUGGAUUUUCAAGCUACCACGGUGUAGGAAGCAAUGCCAAUAUUCUCCUAGACAACUUUUCAACUAGAUUUAUAACGCCGCCUGAAAACAGGGAACAUUUUCACUUUGGAGCACACAAAAAAAACUAACCCAAAUAAAAUUACCUUAAGCAAUCACAGGGGCAUUAAUUUUUUUAAUAAAAAAAUGUCUUUAAGCUCUAUCCUCCAAUUAAUAACCAAAAACGACACUAAAAAAAACAUCUUUAUCUUUAAAUUUACUCUUUCAUAUUACUGUCACUUUUUUUCAACACUCACUAUAGAUCACUAAUAUUCUGUGCCUGCUCAGCACCACUUUUUUCACACUAAUGGCGUUUUUCCCCUUUCUAUGCCUUUUUAUAGGCCAGAGUUGAUGCAAUGGUGUAUUUCCAGACACGACAUAUUGGACGCUGUCCGACAUUUUUACUAAAUAUUCUCACAAUUAUCGUUAUAUUUGGCCUUUUCUAACAAUUCACCUCGAUUUCAAAUAAUUUUCUCUCAUAACCGCUACGAAUUUAUGAAUGAAUCAACCUACUACACGUCAUUAUCAACCGUACUCUACGGAUCCCACUAACUACCAACAACUUACUACGAGUAGUAAUGAGUGGCAAUAUCGGCCGAUAACACCGUGUCCUGCUGUCAAAUGUGAAUAAUGCCAACCUGACUCUCAUUAACACGCAGCCGUCAGGGAGUACACACUUUUCAAUUUCUUUUCCCUCUGCCAAUAUUUCCUUUACUCUUUUCAUUUCGUAUAUCCUUAAUUAAUAUUUCAAAAUUUUCCUUCUCUUCCAGGCAUACUUUCUACGCAGGGCACUGACUGGACAGUCCCACUGGUCGUCUGCGCGAAAUCAAAAAAUCCUUGGGCAAGAUUUUCUAUUUCGCACAUUCGCAGGUGGCUUUGUUCAUUCAGUGGCAUGCAUAGAGCAUCUACAUAAACACAUGGCGGGGAGGCAAAAAAAAACUCAUACGGCACUACAGAAAAAACCUCCCGCCAUGUGCGACUUAAAAAGAAACAAUACUGCCCAAAUGGGGCACAAAAAGAACAGUAUACAUAUCUUUAUGGAUCCACGUGCCUCUGUUGUUCCACUACGAUUUUGAGGAGAAACUACUCCACGGGAAUGGAUACUUUGCCCUCACAAUCGCUCCGAACUUCAGGGUGCACUUGGCUCCACAAACAAACUAAACUAAACAUGCAAAACAAAAAAAAACAACAUCAAUCAUCCAUUUGGGCACGGCGGACCAGCCGACAUGAAAGAAUAUGGUCCAGCCACUCGGGUCUCUAAAUAGCUCCUCCAGAACCCCUCCAGCGACCCCAUGAGAAUAGGGGCUGGGGAUCAUGCGUGGUUCGAGGCCGCCACGAAGGCGUAAAGGCCCACCCGUAAGGGUUUCCACGCAAAAUUUUUUUCCCCCAUUCUUUCUAUUCUCCUUGCGUCCGGAAAGUGGGGAAAAUAUGUCCAAUUAGGCCACGCAACAAUAUAUAAGAGAAGAACGAAGGCAAAUGUGUAAACAUUGAUACUUAGUUCCAUGCCACUUCUCCCAUCAAACGCCUCACAAGUGGUGCAUAGGGGAAAGCUCCUCAGAUAUGACGGGUACUGCAGAAAUAAAAUAUGCGGAGCGAAUCAACAAGUUAGCACAAGCAGGGUGUGUGUCGCUUGCAAGAAUACAAAUACGAACAUGAUAGGUUUGUGCAAUAGGGCCGGCAGCGAAUGUGCCAAAGGAAAUGGCCAACGGUGACGCUCGCAGAUGUUCAGAAGAUCCACCAUCAAGAAAGCCCGGCCUAGAGGGUUGCUAGCAGCCUCAGCACUAGGUACUAUCCUUCUAAAUUUAACGAUUAUAGAAACAGGAAUAAUGGAAAUGACCACCCCCGAAGUCGACCUAUGGAUUCAGAACACGGUUUAUGAUUGGAAUAUGGAGCGUCAGAACUCUCUCAGAAUCAUCGAGACUUUACCAAGACCAGAACGAGAUGUCUAACUACAAAGUAGACAUCCUCGGUUUAAGUGAAGUACGAUCGACGAAAUCCUGAACUACGCAUUUUCAAGGUGGCUACCACUUCAUUUUUUCAGGCAAUGAAUUCUACCGAAUAAAUGGGAUCGGUCUUUUACUUUAACGCAUCAUGGCGGCAAGAUUAAAUUUAAAAUUCCGCAAAAUAUCUAUCGUAUUCGCCAACCAAAGCCGACGACGACGAAACAAAGCACCAACUCGACUCAAUGACAAGCUCUCUACCGAAAGGAGAUAUUAAAAUGGUUAUGGGUAAGGUGGGCAAUAGCAACAAUAAUCUGCAAUUAGUCAUGGGAAUGCAAGAACUUGGCGAUACCAGGAAUGACAAUGGCGAAAGAUUCGUUAAUUUCUGCACAAGAAAUCUACUCUUUAUUGAAGGAACAAAAUUCCCCCCUAAAAAUACACAUAACUAUACUUUGGAAUCACCAGAUGGAAAUACGCGUCAUCAAAUCGAUCACGUAUUUACCAGCAGAUUCUUUCUGGGUUCGCUGAUGGAUGUAAAAACUAGACGAGGAUCUGACAUCGAUAGUGACCACAUGAUCUUAGUGGCCACUCUACGUCUACGCAAACUCAAACAAAAAGCACAAAGUUCAAACUCUUUCACCUAAAAAACCGAAACCGCGCGCGAAUAGGAAAUAGCAUUAACUGAGAAGCUACAAACUACCAUCUAGACGUGGGUUGGCAUAACAUCAGCCCAUACGGAGACGGCCACCUCUAUCACAGGCAUUGCUAGACGACGGAUCGGAAUUCACAACACCUGAAAAGCAAUUAGAACGAUGCCGCGGAUUUUCAGCUCCGAAGGACCAGAAACAAUAUACGAUACCUUAUGAACUGUUGAGGUAUGCGGCACACCCCAUAGCUCAAGCGAUCAUCCCAAUAAUCAGGGAGGCCAGGGAUAUAAACCCUGUCUCCACGGAAUGAAUGAAGGGGAUUAUGCUCACAAUCCCCAAGAAGGGUGACCUCACCCAGUGUAAUAAUUGGAGGGGAAUUACAUUGCUAAACGCAAUAAAUAAAUUGAUGGCAAGUAUUCUUCUGCAGCGUCUGUACUUGACAGCAUUUUGAGGAAGGAACAGGCAGAUUUUCGGCCAGGACGUUCUUGUGCCGACUAUAUUAACUCCAUUGAACAGUAGGCAUAACUUAAUACUCACAUACACCUUUUAUUCAUCUACUUCGAGCGUGCGUAUUCCUAAUUAUGGAGCUGUAUAGGAAUGCUGAAGUUUCAGUCCGGUUCAAUGGAAAAGAGAGCCUACCUAACUAACUCAAUAAAGUUUUGAGAUGCAGUGACAUUUCACAUAACACAAAAGUCAGAAUCUUCAACAGUAGUGUGAAAUCUAUUUUAAUCUUGUAUAUGGAGCUUGGUACAAGCGACAACCUGCAAAGUCCAAGUUUUUAUAAAUCGCUGCUCACGACAAAUACUUUGAAUUUUCUCGCCAAACCGUAUUAAAAAUGAAGAAUUGUACAUAAGAACAAAUAUUUCCUCUGUCGAUGUAGAAACCUGGAAGAGAAAAUGGAUUUGGUUGGGUCAUAUCCUACGCCGACGGCGCGACGAUGUAGCGAGAAAUGUCCUAGACUGGAAUCAGCAAGGAAAGCGAAGGAUGGGACGCCCAAAAAACACAUUGAUCCGCUAUACGAAAAGAGAGUGUAUAUAUGAGAUGGUAAUUUAGAUAAGUUCACAUGUAUGUACGUCCGGGAUGAAGCAGAGGAUAGGUUGGGUGUGGCGUACGUGAGUAGAGUAUGGUAACGAGUUGAUGUUGUUCGAUUGUGCACAUGUGUAUGUAUAUAAGAUGAUCUGUAAAUAUACAUUGGUAGCUUCAGUUCUGUAUUAGGUAGACUGAUGCAAUAAAGAAGACAACGCAGGCAUUCCUGUGCAAACCGUAAAAUAGUCUACAUCGUCAGGUGUGGCCGAAAAACGAAAAGAAUUUUUUUAAGGCCUGUGGGAAAGAUUGUGGAAUAAAAAAAGACCCUUUGGUGAAAGAAAAAGGAAAACAAACAGCUUCAGUCAUUGGAGGAAGAAAAAUUGAGAAAUUUAAAAAAAAAACCUUCAGAAAAGAACAAAGGAAGAAGAAAAAACCUUAAGAAAAAAUAGAAAAAAACAACUUCAAACAAGGAAAGAAAUAAGUUAAUCGUGACAGAAGAAAUGAGUGUUCAGGACAAAAUUGCAGCAAAAUCGAGGGCAAUGGCCAUAGAUUUCCCUCCAUCGGCCAGCCUCAUACCGUUGAAACACUAAUUGGGAGGGGUCGUGACUGAACACGUGGAUAAAGGCCAGGCAGAUGCACAAGACGGCGAAGGACAUGGCUACGAUACAAACAUGAGCAGCGAUAACGUCAUUGACGUCGAAAAGAAUGACGCCAAUAUACACGCCAGUGAGAAUAGCAAGUCCAUGCAGAAUGCUAAUGGUCAGACCGGUGAAGGCGGCGAAUUAGAGCGGGUCGAGCGAGACCAUACAAGCCGUCUCCGUAUUCUGAAGCUGAAAAACGAAAUAAAAAAGAUGGAAAUGGACCGUUUGGAUAAGCGGGUCGUCAUGAAUUUUUCAGAUGUCGAGAACUCAUUGCCGAAGUUUAGCGGUGAUAAUGAGUAUGGUGUGCUUAAGUGAAUGUCUGUUCCAAAGAGGAAAAAAAUAUUUUUGCGCGGCGUAUGAUGGCCAAUAUAUAACUCCGAAUCAUAUCUGUCCACUCAUGGAGUGAGUUGAAGAAGAAACUCGUCCAGGAAUUUAAGAAGACUUUGAGCGCUAGAGAUGUAUUGAGAAAAUUAGAGGCGAAAAAUGAGAAAAGUCGGAAACCUUGCAUAGAUAUGUAUUGACGAUGCAAGAGAUCGAGCGUGGAACGCCUAUCACCGAAGCAGAGCAAUGUCAAUGUUCUACAACGUGUCUUCGGUUGACGAUUUUAAGGAGCUCAUCGCUAGAUAUGAGAAAGUCAUAGCCAAAGUUACUGGCAAUGCCGCAAGACCUGCGACCAUGAAGGAUGUCAGACGUUUCAACUGCUCCAACUUUGGGCAUUAUGCUCAGCAUUGCACGAAGGGGAAGCGAACAAUAGGGACUUGCUUCAAGUGUCUCAAGGCGGUCCACAUGUUGGCGAACUGUCCAUCACGGGUGGUGGCAACUUUAGGAGAUUUGGAUGAGAUUAAUUAUAAUAUACAGUUUUGUGGUAGAAGUGGUAGAAGCGGCAGUUCCUUGUGUGAAGUUGGACGGUGACCGGGUGUCGGAGUUUAGAGGUGUAGGUAGCGGAGUUUGAGAAUGUGUGGCAGAAUGGAGGCGAGGAUCGAGUUGAAGGGGCGUUUGGCAGAUAUUUUUUUAUAUAUUGUACCGAAUAGUGCUAUCCCUCAUGACCUAAUAUUGCGUAGGGAUUUUAUGAAGAUGUUUUUUGUUUCAUUAUAUGUACAUAAGUGCUCCUAAGGAGGUUGUGAAAUAUGUCCGUUUCGAAUCGGAGAGUACGGAAUUGUUUGAGUUGGAACCGAUAGAUGAUAGCAAUGAUAAUAUUAACCUAAUAAAUGAAUUACCCUAUAAAGACGACAUGUUAUUGGGUGGUGAAGCGGUGGAGCUAGUUACCCGCCCGGGGUUGAGUAAGUGGGAUAAAUAUAGGAUAAGGGAGGUGGUAAAGGCGGAUUAUUUGGAGAUGUUUGGUGUUGACCCCGCUCUCGUGGAUUAUGGGGCAAGGAUUGCGGUAAACGCGGGCACUACGGUUUAUUGUUCGCCUAGAAGGCUUUCUUUCGCAAGAGAUGAAUAGAAUAUUUAGUGAACUGUUGGAAAGGGUGUUAUUAGACCGAGUGAUUCUCCCUUUGCUUCUCCGGUGGUAUUGACGAAGAAGAAGAAUGGGAGACAAGAAUGUGCGUGGAUUAUAGGAGCCUGAACAAGUUGGUGGUUAGGGGCAAUUAUCCGCUUCCACGCAUUGAGGAUUGUUUAGACCAUUUGGGUAGUAAGAGUUUCUUUUUGGUGAUGGAUCUUAAGUCUUAAUUUUACCUGGUGAGGAUGGCGGACGAUUCGAUUAGACAUGCUUCGUUUGUAGUGCCGUCUACCGUUCGGGUUGAAGAACGGGCAAGCGAUAUUUCAGCGAUUUUUGGGCAGAGUUAAGGAUUUUCUGGAGAAGGGGAAGCAUGUAGGAAAUGCUUAAAUUAUUGUUUUGAAGU